rnacentral:lncRNA from 1 species
CUGAGAGGCUGAGAGGCUGAGGCUGAGAGGCUGAAGCUGAGGCUGAGGCUGAGAGGCUGAGGCUGAGGCUGAGAGGCUGCGAGGCUGAGAGGCUGAGAGGCUGAGAGGCUGAGGCUGAGGCUGAGGCUGAUGCUGGUGGUGAUGCUGUGCUGUGCUGAUGCUGGUGCUGAUGUCACAAGGCUAAGCUAGCAUGCUUUAUUUACCCUCAGUCCCAGCGAGAACUGCAGAGGGUGAGCCUGGCUUCUGGAAGGUGGGGGAGAGGGAGACAGGACAGGGAAACAUCUUGAGGUUUGCCAUGAAUAGUCAUAAUCUUGGGAAAUUGGCAUAUAUGAAAACACAUUCUAGGUUCACACAAUUAUAGAAAGGGCUUCUUUUUGAUAUCCCAAUGAGAUUUGAGCAAAUUACUGGAUGGAUGAAAAUAUCUUGCUUACUGCAGGCUGUUUAGCACCCCGAGUCUCCCCAGCAGACGUGCAUCAUGUUCUCAACCUCUGUGCUUGCUAGAACUCCCCUCCCAAGUUACCAAUGUACCCCUUGAGAUGUGCUCUCGGCUCAUUGAGGGCCAUUGCUUUAAGCCACGGGCUUAUCUAAUCUGCCUGUUGCCCAGUUGCUG